UACGAAGGGGGCUAGCGUUGUUCGGAUUUACUGGGCGUAAAGCGCACGUAGGCGGAUCGAUCAGUCAGAGGUGAAAUCCCAGAGCUCAACUCUGGAACUGCCUUUGAUACUGUCGAUCUGGAGUAUGGAAGAGGUGAGUGGAAUUCCGAGUGUAGAGGUGAAAUUCGUAGAUAUUCGGAGGAACACCAGUGGCGAAGGCGGCUCACUGGUCCAUUACUGACGCUGAGGUGCGAAAGCGUGGGGAGCAAACAGG
rnacentral:rRNA from 1 species